ACGCUCGACACCUACAGGAGGCAGCAGUGGGGAAUAUUGCACAAUGGGGGAAACCCUGAUGCAGCGACGCCGCGUGAGCGAAGAAGUAUUUCGGUAUGUAAAGCUCUAUCAGCAGGGAAGAAACUGACGGUACCUGACUAAGAAGCACCGGCUAAAUACGUGCAGCAGCCGCGGUAAUCUGAGCGGGCUGGCAAGGC
rnacentral:rRNA from 1 species